GAUGAACGCUGGCGGCGUGCCUAAUACAUGCAAGUCGAGCGAACAGACGAGGAGCUUGCUCCUUUGACGUUAGCGGCGGACGGGUGAGUAACACGUAGGUAACCUACCUAUAAGACUGGGAUAACUUCGGGAAACCGGAGCUAAUACCGGAUAAUAUUUCGAACCGCAUGGUUCGAUAGUGAAAGAUGGCUUUGCUAUCACUUAUAGAUGGACCUGCGCCGUAUUAGCUAGUUGGUAAGGUAACGGCUUACCAAGGCAACGAUACGUAGCCGACCUGAGAGGGUGAUCGGCCACACUGGAACUGAGACACGGUCCAGACUCCUACGGGAGGCAGCAGUAGGGAAUCUUCCGCAAUGGGCGAAAGCCUGACGGAGCAACGCUGCGUGAGUGAUGAAGGUCUUCGGAUCGUAAAACUCUGUUAUUAGGGAAGAACAAACGUGUAAGUAACUGUGCACGUCUUGACGGUACCUAAUCAGAAAGCCACGGCUAACUACGUG
rnacentral:rRNA from 1 species